UACGUAGGGGCCUAGCGUUGUCCGGAUUUAUUGGGCGUAAAGAGCGUGUAGGCGGCCAGGUAGGUCUGCUGUGAAAACUCGAGGCUCAACCUCGAGACGUCGGCGGAAACCAUCUGGCUAGAGUCCGGAAGAGGAGAGUGGAAUUCCUGGUGUAGCGGUGAAAUGCGCAGAUAUCAGGAAGAACACCCGUGGCGAAGGCGGCUCUCUGGGACGGUACUGACGCUGAGACGCGAAAGCGUGGGGAGCGAACAGG
rnacentral:rRNA from 1 species